rnacentral:rRNA from 1 species
AUUGAACGCUGGCGGCAGGCCUAACACAUGCAAGUCGAACGAGUGGCGGACGGGUGAGUAAUGUCUGGGAAACUGACCGAUGGAGGGGGAUAACUACUGGAAAAGGUAGCUAAUACCGCAUACCAUCGGAUGUGCCCAGAUGGGAUUAGCUAGUAGGUGGGGGAACGGCUCACCUAGGCGACGAUCCCUAGCUGGUCUGAGCGGAUGACCAGCCACACGGGACAUGAGACACGGUCCAGACUCCUCAGGGAGGCAGCAGUGGGGAAUAUUGCACAAUUGGCGCAAGCCUGAUGCAGCAAUGCCGCGUGUAUGAAGAAGGCCUUCGGGUUGUAAAGGACUUUCAGCGAGGAGGCGUUACUCGCAGAAGAAGCCCCGGCUAACUCCGUGCCAGCAGCCGCGGUAAUAC